CUGGUGUACUCUGAGAGUUGAAUUUUG
rnacentral:piRNA from 1 species